rnacentral:tRNA from 2 species
GCCCGCGUGGCGUAAUGGUUAACGCGUCUGACUUCUAAUCAGAAGAUUGCAAGUUCGAGUCUUGCCGUGGGCU